rnacentral:rRNA from 1 species
AGUGAACGCUGGCGGUAGGCCUAACACAUGCAAGUCGAACGGCAGCACAGUAAGAGCUUGCUCUUACGGGUGGCGAGUGGCGGACGGGUGAGGAAUACAUCGGAAUCUACUUUUUCGUGGGGGAUAACGUAGGGAAACUUACGCUAAUACCGCAUACGACCUACGGGUGAAAGCAGGGGAUCUUCGGACCUUGCGCGAUUGAAUGAGCCGAUGUCGGAUUAGCUAGUUGGCGGGGUAAAGGCCCACCAAGGCGACGAUCCGUAGCUGGACUGAGAGGAUGAUCAGCCACACUGGAACUGAGACACGGACCAGACUCCUACGGGAGGCAGCAGUGGGGAAUAUUGGACAAUGGGCGCAAGCCUGAUCCAGCCAUACCGCGUGGGUGAAGAAGGCCUUCGGGUUGUAAAGCCGUUUUGUUGGGAAGGAAAAGCAGCAGGUUAAUACCCCGCUGUUCUGACGGUACCCAAAGAAUAAGCACCGGCUAACUUCGUG